UUAAUAGAGCUUUUGCUCGUGAACCAAAUAUGGUCGGCUGGGUUGUCUUUGCGGAAACGCUUAGGCGACUUGUCUACGAAUUGUAAUCAUAAUAUGCGCGACGGUGAAUCCUUUGCAGACGACUUGAAUGGGAACGGGGUACUGUAAGUGGUAGAGUAGCCUUGUUGCUACGAUCCACUGAGGUUAAGCCCUUGUUCUAAAGAUUUGUUCA
rnacentral:rRNA from 1 species